rnacentral:rRNA from 1 species
AAACUAACAAGGAUUCCCCUAGUAACUGCGAGUGAACCGGGAAAAGCUCAAAUUUAAAAUCUGGCAGCCUUGGCUGUCCGAGUUGUAAUCUGGAGAAGCGUCUUCCGCGCUGGACCGUGUACAAGUCUCCUGGAACGGAGCGUCAUAGAGGGUGAGAAUCCCGUCUUUGACACGGACUACCAGUGCUCUGUGAUGCGCUCUCAAAGAGUCGAGUUGUUUGGGAAUGCAGCUCAAAAUGGGUGGUAAACUCCAUCUAAAGCUAAAUAUUGGCGAGAGACCGAUAGCGAACAAGUACCGUGAGGGAAAGAUGAAAAGCACUUUGGAAAGAGAGUUAAACAGUACGUGAAAUUGCUGAAAGGGAAACGCUUGAAGUCAGUCGCGUUUGCUAGGACUCAGCCUUGCCUCGGCUUGGUGCACUUCCUAGUAGACGGGCCAGCAUCACUUUUGACUGCGGGAGAAAGGUUGGAGGAAUGUGGCACCCUCGGGUGUGUUAUAGCCUCUAGCUGUAUGCCGUGGUUGGGAGUGAGGAACUCAGCACGCCGCAAGGCGGGGCUUCGGCCACCUUCGUGCUUAGGAUGCUGGCGUAAUGGCUUUAAACGACC